UUCCGGUUGAUCCUGCCGGACCCUACUGCUAUCGGGGUGAGACUAAGCAAUGCAAGUCGUGCGCCCCAAGCCAUGGUGAGGCGCGGCAAACGGCUCAGUAACACGUGGCUAACCUACCCUUAGGACGGGGACAACCCCGGGAAACUGGGGCUAAUCCCAGAUAGGUGAAGAAGUCUGGAAUGACUCUUCGCUCAAAGGGCGUUGGGGACAUGCUUCCCAGCGUUGCCUAAGGAUGGGGCCGCGGCCGAUCAGGUUGUUGGUGAGGUAACGGCCCACCAAGCCUUUAACCGGUACGGGCCAUGAGAGUGGGAGCCCGGAGAUGGGCACUGAGACAAGGGCCCAGGCCCUACGGGGUGCAGCAUGCGCGAAACCUCCGCAAUGCGCGAAAGCGUGACGGGGUUACCCCGAGUGCCGUCCGCUGAGGAUGGCUUUUCUCCUGUGUAAGGAGCCGGAGGAAUAAGGGGAGGGCAAGACUGGUGUCAGCCGCCGCGGUAAUACCAGCUCCCCGAGUGGUAGGGACGAUUAUUGAGCUUAAAGCGUCCGUAGCCGGCCUGACAAGUCUUCCGUUAAAUCCAGCGACUCAAUCGCUGGGCCGCGAAAGAUACUGUCAGGCUAGGGGACGGAAGAGGCCGACGGUAUUCCCGGAGUAGGGGUGAAAUCCUAUAAUCCCGGGAGGACCACCAGUGGCGAAGGCGGUCGGCUAGAACGCGCUCGACGGUGAGGGACGAAAGCUGGGGGAGCGAACCGGAUUAGAUACCCCGGGUAGUCCCAGCUGUAAACGAUGCGGGCUAGGUGUCGGGGCGGCAACGAGCCGCUUCGGUGCCGCAGGGAAGCCGUUAAGCCCGCCGCUUGGGAAGUACGGCCGCAAGGCUGAAACUUUAAAGGAUUGGCGGGGGGAGCACCAACAGGCGUGAAGCUUGCGGUCCAAUUGGAGUCAACGCCGGA
rnacentral:rRNA from 1 species